GACGAACGCUGGCGGCGUGCUUAACACAUGCAAGUCGAACGAGGAUACCUAGACAGAAGCCUUCGGGUGGAAGACUUUGUAUCCGAGUGGCGGACGGGUGAGUAACGCGUGAGUAACCUGCCUUGAAGAGGGGAAUAACAGCGAGAAAUCGUUGCUAAUACCGCAUAAGACUACAGGAUCGCAUGAUCUAGGAGUCAAAGAUUUAUCGCUUCAAGAUGGACUCGCGUCCCAUUAGCUAGUUGGUAGGGUAAUGGCCUACCAAGGCGACGAUGGGUAGCCGGACUGAGAGGUCGAUCGGCCACACUGGGACUGAGACACGGCCCAGACUCCUACGGGAGGCAGCAGUGGGGAAUAUUGCACAAUGGGGGAAACCCUGAUGCAGCGAUGCCGCGUGAGGGAAGAAGGUUUUCGGAUUGUAAACCUCUGUCUUUAGGGAAGAAAGAAAUGACGGUACCUAAGGAGGAAGCCACGGCUAACUAUGUGCCAGCCGCCGCCGUAAU
rnacentral:rRNA from 1 species